UGGGGAAUAUUGCACAAUGGAGGGAACUCUGAUGCAGCGACGCCGCGUGAACGAAGAAGGCUUUCGAGUCGUAAAGUUCUUUUAUAUGGGAAGAUAAUGACGGUACCAUAAGAAAAAGCCCCGGCUAACUACGUGCCAGCAGCCGCGGUAAUACGUAGGGGGCUAGCGUUGUCCGGAAUCACUGGGCGUAAAGGGUUCGCAGGCGGAAAUGCAAGUCAGGUGUAAAAGGCAGUAGCUUAACUACUGUAAGCAUUUGAAACUGCAUAUCUUGAGGAGAGUAGAGGUACGUGGAAUUUUUAGUGUAGCGGUGAAAUGCGUAGAUAUUAAAAAGAAUACCGGUGGCGAAGGCGACUUACUGGGCUCAUUCUGACGCUGAGGAACGAAAGCGUGGGUAGCAAACAGG
rnacentral:rRNA from 1 species